GAUGAAGAACGUAGCGAAAUGCGAUAAGUAAUGUGAAUUGCAGAAUUCAGUGAAUCAUCGAAUCUUUGAACGCACAUUGCGCCCGCCAGUAUUCUGGCGGGCAUGCCUGUUCGAGCGUCAUUUCAACCAUCAAGCCCUGCUUGCGUUGGGGUCCUGCGGCUGCCCGCAGGCCCUGAAAACCAGUGGCGGGCUCGCUAGUCACACCGAGCGCAGUAGCACAUCUCGCUCAGGGCGUGCGGCGGGUUCUUGCCGUAAAACACCCCCCCCUUUUCACCAAGGUUGACCUCGGAUCAGGUAGGAAUACCCGCUGAACUUAAGCAUAUCAAUAAGCGGAGGA
rnacentral:misc_RNA from 1 species